AUUGGACGCUGGCGGCAGGCUUAACACAUGCAAGUCGAGCGGUAACAGAGAGAAGCUUGCUUCUCUGCUGACGAGCGGCGGACGGGUGAGUAAUGCCUAGGAAUCUGCCUAGUAGUGGGGGAUAACUUGCCGAAAGGUAAGCUAAUACCGCAUACGUCCUACGGGAGAAAGGAGGGGACCUUCGGGCCUUUCGCUAUUAGAUGAGCCUAGGUCGGAUUAGUUAGUUGGUGAGGUAAUGGCUCACCAAGACCGCGAUCCGUAACUGGUCUGAGAGGAUGAUCAGUCACACUGGAACUGAGACACGGUCCAGACUCCUACGGGAGGCCGCAGUGGGGAAUAUUGGACAAUGGGGGGAACCCUGAUCCAGCCAUGCCGCGUGUGUGAAGAAGGCCUUAGGAUUGUAAAGCACUUUAAGUUGGGAGGAAGAGCAGUUAACUAAUAUUUGACUGUUUUGACGUUACCGACAGAAUAAGCACCGGCUAACUUCGUGCCAGCCGCCACCGUAA
rnacentral:rRNA from 1 species